CCCCUCCACCUCCAGCUCCCUUGGCCACCUCACCUUCGGCGCUUCCGCCGCCACCAAUGCUAACCUCAAAUACACUCCCUUGUCCACAAUCUCCGGCGACAACACCUUCUACGGUCUCGACAUCGUCGGCAUCUCCGUUGGCGGCACCAAGCUCCCUGCUGUCUCCUCCUCCACCUUCUCCGCCGGUGGCUCCAUCAUCGACUCCGGCACCGUGAUCACGCGGCUGGCCCCGACCGCGUACGCCGCGCUCCGGUCGGCAUUUCGGCAGGGUAUGGAGAAGUACCCCGUUGCCAACGAGGACGGCCUAUUUGACACGUGUUAUGAUUUCAGUGGGUAUAAGGAGAUUUCAGUUCCGAAGAUAGAUUUUGAAUUUGCCGGUGGCGUCACGGUGGAGUUGCCAUUGGUGGGGAUACUCAUUGGGAGAAGUGCGCAACAAGUGUGUUUGGCUUUUGCUGCAAAUGGGAAUGACAAUGAUAUUACGAUAUUUGGGAAUGUGCAACAAAAGACACUAGAGGUCGUGUAUGAUGUUGAGGGUGGGAGGAUAGGGUUUGGUGCUGCUGGGUGCAACUGAAGGGAUUUUGAUUAAUAGUGGUGUUAAUUAAACAUGCUUUGGGCUUGUUAGGGUGGAAGAAAUCUUAAUUGGCUCUGGCAUUUUUAAUUACUAGAAAGUACUCUAAAUAUAUGAAAAAAUAUUGAAGGAAAUGAUGUGGAAAAUAUGGUGUAACAUGUAGAAUGGAGGGGAUGUUAUAUUAUAUAUGACUCCCAACCAUUGGGGUUGCUUGCAAUUGAACAUACAUGGGUAAUACUACCUAUGGUUUUAUAUAUAUAAGUCAUUCAAUUAAUUCACACCAUCUAAUAGUUAACUUAGCUAAAUAUAUUAAAUUUAUUAAUAAUUUAGACUUUUUUGGGUUCAUAUUAAGUAAAAUUAAAUUAAAUUUAUAAAGAAAGUUAGUUGAAAUUAUUUAAUUUUACUAAUUUAAAGUAAAAUAAUAAGAUUAUCUCUAAAAUGUUUUUCAUUAGAAUUUGAUAUCAUAAAUAAAUAGAGUACUUAAAUAUAAAGUUUAAUUAAAUGAAAAAUGUUUUAAGAAUGAUAUCAUUGAAUAAGGAUAAAAUUAAUUAGAUUUGUUUAUAUUUGAGUUCAAACUCUUAAAAAAAUCAAAAUUAACAAAGAAUCAAAUAUAUCACAAAAUAAACAAAAAAAAAAGUCAUAGAAGAAGACUUUGUGAUUAGCAAAAUGCUCUCACAAAUUUUGGGUCCUACAAGCACUUGGGUGAGGGACUUUUUUGUCCCACGGACAAUGAUAGAAUCUAUUGAGAUGCAUCUACCUCAACCCCCACUAGACCAAUCUUGUGUGUAGAAUGUGAGAAUAAAUAAUCAUUUUUCUAUGCAAAUUUGUAAAUAACAAUAAUACAUUAAAAUAAAAUAUAAUGAAUAAACAAGUUAAAUAAUUAUGAGUUUUGCUUGAUAUCUCAUAAUAUCUAGUAGUAAAUAUAUUAACAACAUUCAAAGUUUUCUUUAACAUCCAAAGUCUCAAAAUACCUAUUUUUAUAAAUACCUAUUUAAAGUCUUAUAAUUUAUAACAUAAGUAGAAUAUAUAAUUAAUUUUCAAACACCCAGAUUAUCAUCUAAUUCAUCAUCUAGUUGAUCACAUGGAGGAGGUUGUCAAGCACAUUGAAUUGAUUGAGAUGUUUGUAUUCUCCAUAAAUCAAGUCAUUUGCUCACAAAAUAAAUAGUCAUCGUGUGAUUCAAGAAACAUAUCUUUCAAGUUCUUAUCUUCUUCGGUCAAAUCAGAAACUUGAGCUUUCAUUUUCUUAUAUUCAUGCAAUGAGAAACCAUAAGAUGAUAUGGAUGAGGAAGAAGGCUUGUAUUUCCUAGCCUCUAAACCAAGACCAAAUAUCAAUUGUUAGAGCCCUUAAAACAUUUUUUUUUCUUAUAUAUGAGUUUAGAGGAAGUACUACUCUUUCAAAAUUAUCCUUUAUUUCUCUCUAAUUGAUUAAUGUGACUUUUUUUAUUCUCCAAUCCUAAUAAAAGAGAGUGUAAUUGAUUAAAGAUAUUAUAAAAAUAAAUAAUUAAUGCACCAAACAAUUAAAAACAAGUAUUACAAAAAUGGACAAAAAAUAAAGUAAAAAUGAUCUUAUAUAUAAUGAUGGAGGUUGUAUGAAACAAAUAUAAACUUGUUAUUAGAGGUUUGUUGAUUAAGUAAAAAAUGUCUUUAUUUUGGAAUAUUUUUUUAUUUAGAUUGAUUAUGUUUAUUUUUUACAAUCUUUUAAUUUGUAUAUUAUAUUCAUGUAUAUAUGGAGGGGUGAAUAUAUGACUCUCAAGCCGUGCGAUUGCUUGCAAUUGUACAUAUGUAAGGUGGAAAUAAAAUGCAAACUUGUCUUUGUUAUUAAUUAAAUGUUUGUUGAAUAAAGCGAAAUUAAAGGUCUUGCUUUGGGUUAUUUAUUUCGUUUUGUUGUUUAAUUUUGAUAUCAUAUGUGGUAGAAUUUUGUUUUUGAUAAUCUUUGUGAUGUGUGUCAGAGAAAAAAUAAAUGCAGUGAUAGAUGUGGAUUUGGCUCUUUUAAAAUGGUGAGAUACUCUUUAGAGAGCAGUUGAUUAAUCAACAAUCAAAUGACAUAUAUAUGAUUACACAUUGCAAGUAGAUUAAAAAAUCACUGGAUCACAGCAUCAUUUAGUACGUAAAAUAUCUUGCAAUGGAACAACAAUUUGCCUAAUAUAUAUGUCAUGGCUAGCUGUGCAUGGGAAUCCAUUGACGCUGAGGAUUUUAAAGCUUCCCGGAGUUUGGACUAUAUAGUUUUUUAGUUUUUUUUGUUAAUAAGUUUUGGUUCUUCAUCAUGCCAAGAUAUAUGCAUGGAAGAGGUUACACAUGAAUUACGAGAAUGUUGAUAUGCUCUUUAAAUUUCCAUGGAUGUGCAAUAACAAGUCGAUAAGAAUAGAUAAACAAUUUUAUAUAAAAAAUAGAGAAAAAAUACUUUUAAAUUUAAAAUGUUAAAUAUAAUAUAUCAUUAACAUUUUACGGCAAAUCUCUUCCAAAUUAAAAUGAAUUCAGCUUCAACCAGGGGAAUAAUAAAUAUAUAGUUGGUCAAUUUUGCUUUAGUUAAGUAAUGAACCUAUGCUUCCUUAAAAGCAAAAACUCCAAAUCUUUAAUUGUUAUUUUUACCUUUCCGUCGUCAAACAAAAAAAGUGAUGAAUAUAUGCUUCCUUAAAAAAUUCGGUCAUUUUUCUCUUUUACAAGUCGCAAAACAGUAUAUAAGAAUCUAGAAGUCUUAAAAAUGAUUUUAGCCUUUUGGAUUAUUAUUUUUUUAGUCUUUUAAAAAAAAUACUUUUUUAGAACUUUAAAUUUUCAAAAAUAUACUUUUACGCUCUCAUAUUCUUUGUGUUAAUAGUGUUACAAAUUAUAUCAAUUUUCAUGGUUAGAAAUAUUUUUUAAUUUAACUUCAGUAAAAAUAUUUUAUGAUAGUUUAAAAUCGUCAAAAAUAUAUAAAAAAUAAUUAGAAUAUGUAAAAAAACAAUGACUACCAAACCAUUCAACUAAAAUAAUUUGGUAGUUUAAAAUCAUCAUAAAUCAUUUUUUAAAAAUAAAUUUUAAAAAAAUAAAUUUUGACAUUAAAAAACCCUUAGAAAUUGUGAAAUCAUGAACACAAUAAGAAUGAGAGAAUGAAGUAAAUUUUUUUAAAAAAUUGAGAGACUAAUAAAAAAAUGGAGUAAAAAAAUGAUUAUCCAAAUUUUAAGGAUAAAAAAUAUAUUUAAAUUAAUUUAAAAUAAAAGAAAAGAUCGUAAAAAUGUUGAGAGUAAAGAAUGUUUUUAACCUUUUUCCAUCAACAUUUUCUGCUGCUGUUGGUUAAAGCUAUUGUUUUAUUGGUGUCAACUAAGAUCUUUUUUUAUUGAUAUCAACUAAGGUUAUUUUUCAGCUGACAUUAUUUAGAGUUUUCUUUUUCAGUUGGCGUCAACCAAGGUUAUUUUUUGCUGACAUUGACCAUAACUAAUUUUUGGCACACAAUAACUAUGAUUUUUUUUGCCGAUGUUGGUCAAUGUUACUUUUUUGCUGAUGAUGGUUAGGAUUUUUUUUGUCGAUAUCAAUCGAGACUAUUUUUUUAGCUAACAUCUAUUAGGUUUUAUAUGCUUGGCAUCGACCAAAGCUAUUUUUGGCUGACAUCGGCUAGUGAUGUUUGGCUGACAUUGACUACUCACUUUUUUUUUUGUUAACUUCAGUUAAAGUUAUUUUUUGAUGAGGUCGUCCAAGACUAUUUUUUCACCAAGGUCGACCAAAAAAUAUUAUUGGCCGAUGUUGAUAAAUAAAAACAUGAACAAUCGAUGUCAGCCAAACAUCACUGGUCAAUGUCAUCCAAAAAAAAAAAUNNNNNNNNNNNNNNNNNNNNNNNNNNNNNNNNNNNNNNNNNNNNNNNNNNNNNNNNNNNNNNNNNNNNNNNNNNNNNNNNNNNNNNNNNNNNNNNNNNNNGUGACAUUAUGUUGAAAAAACUCUAACCAAUAUCAGCUGAAAAAAUAUUCCUAGGCGACGUCGACCAAAAAAAUCCUAAACAACACCAGUAAACAAAUAUCUCAAACCAAUGCCAACAAUAAAACCCAAGGUGAUGUUUCCAAGAAACAUCACCAACCGACGUUGACCAAAAAAAUCCUAGUCAACAUAGAUUGAAAAAUAGCCUUAACAAAAAAAUAGUCUUGACCGAUGUCGACGAAAAAAAAAUCGUAGCUGACAUGACCAAAAAAUAGUCUCGACUAACAUUGAUUGCAAAAAACCCUCAUCGGCAUCGACCAAAAGCUAGACUUGACUGAUGUAGGACAAAAAAUAUCAUAAGUUGACAUUGUCCAAAAAUAUAGUUUAGACCAACAUUGAAAAAAAAACCUAGCCGACAUCAACCAAAAAAAGCAUCAGCUGAAAAGCAUCAUCAAUGUUGGUUAAAAAAACUCUAGAUGACAACAACAAAAAAUAGCUCUAACCAACGUCGGCUUUAAAAAUUUAGUCGGCAUUGUCCGAAAAAUAGUCUCGACCGAUGUUGCCUGAGAAACAUCAUCAAAUAAAGUUGAACAAAAAAACUCUAGCCAACAUCUAUCUACAAAUAAUCGUAGUCGACAUCGGCUGAAAAAUAGUCUCCGCAAAAUAAUUACCUUUUUUUCAAUCUUUGACCAGAGUUAUUUUUGGAGGAAUGCUUUAAAAUUUAAAAAUCCAAUAAAACUCAAUAACAUAUUCAAAUAAUUGAAUUGGAAAUCUAAAAAAUUGGAUUCGAAUUUCAAACCUAUCCAUUAAAAUGAAUUUAAAAUGAUUUAGAUAUAAUUGGUUACGAAUUGAUUUUAUAUAACCUGACUUUUUGAACACUCUAAUAAAAACUAAUUAUUGUUUCCUUUUAAAUGUGUAAUUGGAUAAAGGAACUCUAUUCUUUCACUCACUUCCUAAUUUACUUCGUAGAGCUUCUUAAAAGUAUCAAUGAAUAAUUUACUUCGAAGAGCUUCUUAAAAGUAUUAAUGAAUGAGGUUCCUAAUAUACUUCAAAGAGGUUUUUAAAAGUUUUAAUGGAUGAGGUUUCAAUGCUACAUUACUCUAACAUUGUUGUUUAAGAUAAAAAAAAAGAAUAAAUAUUUAUAUCUCACAGCAUAAGAAAGAGUAUAUAAUAAUGGAUGUUCUUGUCAAGAAAAAUAAAAUAAAAUUUAUAAUAAAAAAUGAUAUUAACAAACUGUUUCAAAUUCCUUAACUUAUUAUAUUAAUACUUAAAUAUUUAUAUUUCUCAGCAUAAAAAAAUAUUUAUAUCUCUGCUGAAUAUUUAGUUACCUUAAUCACUAAAAUAUUUUACAAAUUUAUUAUGUUUUUCUAUGGCAAAAUUAAAUUAAAUUAAUAUGAUUAUGAGUGUGAUCAUUAAGGUAAUUAAGUAAGCCAGCCUUUGAUUUAUUUGACCAACUUAAAAGUUUGUUUGAUGAAAAUAUAAUUAUUCAGAAAAGGGGUUUAUUUCUCUAAUUUCUGGGAUUUUAUUAAAAUCUAUUUUAUGUAGCAUUUUAUACUUAAUUGAUCUCCUAAUAUAGUCAUUUUCUCAUUUUUAUCAUCGUUAUAUUAUUAAAAUUUCUCUUUUAGACUUUUUAUGUUUAUAAAUUGUUAAUGCUCUAACACUUUCUCACUCUCUUGAAAUUAUCAUUUCUAUGAUAAUAUAAAAUCAGUAAUAUUAUAUUAUAAAUAUAUUUAUAUUAUCCUAUUUCAUUCAAUAAAAUUUUAAAAAUAUUAUCCUUUCUUUUAAGUUGAUAAAUUAUUUGAAAUAAGUUAAACUAUGACAAGUGAUAUUUACUUGAAAAUAUACAUAAUUACCAAAGUAAGUUAUCAUCAACUGAGUCAAUGUGCCUUUUUACAUCCUUAUAUUUUUCAACUAGUUUAACAUUUUAUUUUACUAAAUACUUUUGGUUUAGCCAGAUAAUUUAUCGACUUACAUCUAAAUUUUCCGUUUUCAACUUCUAAUAAUUUUUCAGAUUUCAACUAAUGUAUCCACUAGUUUUACUAAACAUCUUCUAUAUAUUCGACCAUUCUUAGUUCGUACGAUUGAAAUGUGAUUUUUUUUAUACCUCUUUUUCUCCUUAAUUAGUUUGUGGUAGGGACAAAGUUGUUUCGUCUAAAUUUUAACAGUUUGUGGUUUGGGAUACAGUUGUUACACAGCAGGGUGAGAAUGACUGAAUGAGAGUUACAGUUGGAUUGUAGUAUAAUUAUUUCUCUUAUUUGGAUCUAAAUUUUAACCAAAUUAAACAUCAAUUAUAUAAUAUCAACUUGAAAUUAAUUUAACCAUAUGUUUCAUAAAAGAAUAUCAGUAACCAUUUUGCUUUGAAUUAAUUUCAGAUUUUAAGGGUAAAAUAACUAUUUUUCCCUAAUUUUUUUUAGUAUGACCGUGUAUAAUAUUGAUAAAUUAGCUCGGCCUUAAUUAUAAGUGCAUGCAUGAUAAGCUCCAAACAAAAGAAAUCACGUUUAGCCAAAAAAAAAAUAGGUGAUAUGUAGCUGUCUGAUCAUAAUAGAUUUAACUUAGACGUGUAGCACUUGUGAAUCACAAACUCUUUAACUUAGACGUGUAGCUGUCUGAUCAUAAUAGAUAAAUCAUGUUUAAUAAGAUAUGUUGGUUAAUUUUUAACUGAAAUAAUUUUUUUUAAUUUAAUAUUUUUUGAAAUAUUACUUAAACUAACAUUUAGUUUCUAACUUUUAAUUUUUUUAUAUUUUCUUUCAUUUUUAUCUUUUAUAUAUUUAUCAAAAUUUUUAAUUAUCUUUUAAAUAAAUUAUAAUUUUAUUAUUUUUAUGUCAUUUUGUAUUUUUUAAUUAUUUUAAAAUCAUUUGUGAUAGUUUAAAAUCGUAAUAUAUAUAUAUAUAUAUAUAUAUAUAUAUAUAUAUAAUAGAAUAUGUAAAAAAAAACACAAUGACUACCAAAUCAUUCAAGUAAAAUAAUUUGACAGUUUAAAAUCAUCAUAAAUCAUUUUUUAAAAAUAAAAUUUUUAAAAAAUAAUUUUUGACAUUAAAAAACCCUUAUAAAUUAUGAAAUCAUGAACACAAUGAGAAUGAGAGAAUGGAGAAAAUUUUAAAAAAAUUGAGAGACUAAUAGAAAAAUGAUUUAUUAUGAUGUUGGACAAAAAUUAGUCUCAAUGAGUUGAAAAAACUUUAACCAAUAUUGGCUGGAAAAAUAUCCCGAGGCGACGUCAACAAAAAAAAUCCUAGACAACAUUAGUAAACAAAUAUCCCACACCAACGUUGGCCAUAAAACUCUGGUUGAUGUCUCCAAGAAACAUCACCAACCGACAUUGGCCAACAAAACCAUAGUCAACAUAGAUUGAAAAAUGGCAUCAACCAAAAAAUAUUCUUGAUUGGAAUCGACGAAAAAAAAAAGUUGUAGCCGACGCGACGAAACAAUAGUCUCGACUGACAUCAAUUGCAGAAAAAAAAAUUGGACGAAAUAGCUCCAACCACAAGCUAUUUCAUAAGUUGACAUCGAUCAAAAGCUAGACUCAACUCAUGUUGGACAAAAAAUAUCAUAAGUUGACAUUGACGAAAAAUAGUUUCAACUAACAUUGGAAAAAACCUAGACAACAUCAAACGAAAAAAAUCAUCAAUUGACGUUGGUUAAAAAACUCUAUAUGACAUCAACAAAAAAUAACUCUGAUCAACGUCGGCUAAAAAAACCUAGUCAGUAUUGUCCAAAAAAUAGUCUCGACCGAUGUUGCCUGAGAAACAUCAUCAACUGACGUUGAACAAAAAAACUCUGGCAAACGUCUAUAUACAAAUAGUCACAGUCGACGUCGACUGAAAAAUAAUUUCAACUAAUGUUGGUAAAAUAAUUACCUUUUUUUUUCAACCUUGACGAGAGUUAAUUUUUUAGGGAUGCUUUAAAAUCUAAAAAUCCAAUAAAAUAACGUAUCCAAAUAAUUGAAUUGGAUUUAAAAUCUAAAAAAUUGGAUUUGAAUUUCAAACCAAUGCAUUAAAAUGAAUUUAAAGUAAUUUGGAUAUAGUUAGUUACGAAUUGAUUUUAUAUAACUUGAUUUUUUGAACGCUCCUAAUAAAAACUAACUAUUGUUUCCUUUCAAAUGUGUGAUUUGAUAAAGGAACUCUAUUCUUUGACUCACUUCCUAAUUUACUUCAAAGAGCUUCUUAAAAGUAUUAAUGAAUGAGGUUCCUAAUAUACUUCAAAGAGGUUUUAAAAAGUUUUAAUGGAUGAGGUUUCAAUGCUACAUUACUCUAACAUUGUUGUUUAAGAUAAAAAAAAAAGAAUAAAUUAUUUUUUUAAUUGCACUUUUUACCUUUAUUUUUUUUAAUAUUUUGAUGAUUUUUUUCUUAAAAUUAAUUCCACAUAUUUUACCCAUAAUUUUUAAAAAAAUUGUGAAUUUUAUCAUUUGUCAUUCAUUUAUUAAUAAACAAAAGUUAUGAGUAUAGUUUACCAAAAAAAAAUAGUUAAGGACAAAAUUUGUCAAAAAAUAAAAAAUGUUGGGUAAAAAAAUUUCAAAAAUUAAAAAUUUAGAAAUAAACAAUGUAAUUAUUUCAAAAGGAAGACGAUAGAAGAUAAAAUUCACACAUUUUUAAUAAUUUGAGAAAAAGAAUCUUAAAUUAAUUUGUUCAAGUGAAAUUUAUCAAAAAAUUAUAAAAGUUAAGAGUAAAAAAUGCAAUCAAUCAAUAUCUAUAUACUAAGGUUGGAGUAUGAUGAAUAUACUAAAAUGCCCAUGGCUGAGGCUGCGACACGUGUCCCGCUCCGGUUAACAAAAUUGGAAUUUUAGAAAUUUUGUAGGAUUGACGCGUGUAGUUUUAUUUUUCUCCUAUACCUUGCCGUUUCUCCUUCUUCACUCCAUUAUUUUUUGUUGCCUUCGCCACAUGUCGCUUUCUAAUUGACGGAUUUAACGGCUCAUUUAAUUCCGCUUAAUACUCUUUUGUUGCCUUCGCCACAUGUCGCUUCCUAAUUAGCAAAUUUAACGACUCAUUUAAUUCCGCUUAAUACUUACUAUUUCUUCUCUCUCCUGAGUUUUCUCCAUUAUUGCAUUUUAUCCCUCAAUUUUCUCUUUCUUCAUCUUUCUCUUCUGAAUCUUCUUCUCUUUUCCUUUUAUUCUUUUUGUUUCUUCCUUCAUGCAGGCGAUUCUGGCUCCAUGCCCGCAAGUUGGUGAGGACGAGUUUUUACCGCAACACAUUCACCUUAGGUAUUUUCUUCUUUUUUUCUUUUUUUUUUCUUUCACGACAGCUUCGUAUCUAAUUUUUUUUAACCUUCCUUUUCUCUGCAAGUAUUUUCCGCUAUGGCUGAAGAAUUUGUGAAUGACUUUGUUCAUCAAAACGACAUCGUUGUCAUAACCCACAAUCCCCCCAAAGGUAUUUCCUUUUUCUUCGGAAUCUUCUUCUCUUUUCCUUCUAUUCUUUUUGUUUCUUCCUUCAUGCAGGCGAUUCCGGCUCUAUGUACCGCAACACAUUCACCUCAGGUAUUUCCUUCUUUUUUCUUUUUUUUUUCUUUCACGACAGCUUCGUAUCUAAUUUUUUUUUAACCUUCCUUUUCUCUGCGAGUAUUUUCCGCUAUGGCUGAAGAAUUUGUGAAUGGCUUUGUUCAUCAAAACGGCAUCGCUGUCAUAACCCAUAAUCCCCCCAAAGGUAUUUUCUUUUUCUUCUGAAUCUUCUUCUCUUUUCCUUUUAUUUUUUUUGUUUCUUCCUUCAUGCAGGCGAUUCCGGCUCCAUGCCUGCAAGUUGCUGAGGACGAGUUUUUACCGCAACACAUUCACCUCAGGUAUUUCCUUCUUUUUUUCUUUUUUUUUCUUUCACGACAGCUUCGUAUCUAAUUUUUUUUAACCUUCCUUUCCUCUGCGAGUAUUUUUCGCUAUGGCCGAAGAAUUUGUGAAUGACUUUGUUCAUCAAAACGACAUCGCUGUCAUAACCCACAAUCCCCCCAAAGGUAUUUUCUUCUUUCUUUUUCUUUUUCUUUCACAGCUUGGUAUCUAAUGUUUUUUUUUUUGUUUUUUGGUGGUGUUGCUGAUUUGUUGUUUAAAUAAGAAAAUCUUCCCAUAUUACAUAUGGGAGGAGAAUAUCUGUUAAUUUGUUGUCUAUGCAUGAAUAUGAUGGGAAGGGAAACAUCACUUCAAAUUUCAAACAAGUUCUCACAAUUUUCCCUGAUUGUCAGGUUAUAAUUACAACAUAUGAUUUCUCUGUUUUCAAAUACAGGUGAUGGGGAGAAAAAGACCAAAAUUUGGAUAAUAUUAGCUGUUGUGGUGGGGCUGAUCUGCCUUGGAAUCCAUAUAUUUCUGGUAUGGAGGUUUAAGAGAAAACCUAAAGGUAAUAUAUUUAUUUUCCUAAGUAUUUUUUCUUAUCCCUUUGAUGAAUGAAUGACAAGGUGUUGCAUACUGUUUUUUAAUAUUGAUUUCUAUAUACUCUCUCUUCCUUUCUAUUUGCCAGCAAUUUCAUCAGUUUUUGGUUACAACAACAAUAGCGAAAAUACCAGUCUUUGAUCUAACGAGGAGUACAGACUUAUCAUAAAUUUCAGGUGAGUUAGGCUUGGAAGGGAAUCAACUCAAUUUUAACUACAUUCUAGCAUAUUAUUAACAUGGAAAAGUAUUCUUACCCUUUGAAAUUGCUUAAUCAACUCAAUUUUGUUAUGUUGUGUGUCUUUGUGUAUAAAGUUUUUAAUUGUUAUUUAUAUUAGUUUUUUUUAUUAUUAUUGUGCCCAUAGAAAGUAAAGGGGGGAGAAGAUCGCAGUGGCUAUGGCAUGGAGCUUAAGGAGGUUGGCGUUGUUCAUUAGUUCAGUCGGGAAGUUGAAAACGACAUCGUUAGAGACAAAGUGGGGACCACACGACACUGCGGAUUUCAUAAUCAGAAUCUUUUAUCCCGAUUUUAAUUUUAUUAAUUUAAUACUAAUAUUGUAUGCAAGUAAUUGUAUAAAAAUAUAAUAUACAUAUAUCACAACACACGUUAAAUCUAUUAAAAAAAAUCUAAAUUUGAUCACAACAAAUUUAUACACGGUUAAUUAAAUUAUUAAAAGAAAAAAAUGAAAUAUAACAAAUGAUAUGAAAGAAAAAAGAUCUAAAUUUGAUCCCAGAUAAUUUAUACACAAUUAAUUAAAUUAUUAAAAUGAAAAAUGAAAUAUAAUAAAUGACAUGAAAGAAAGAUAAAAAUAUUAUAUAAAUAAAAUAUUAUAUGAAUAUACAAUUAUUUGGCUAAAAAUAUAUAUCUUAUCUGUUUGUAACAGGAAUAUGCCAAAAGUAAAAAUAGAUUUUUUUAUUGGGAAAUAUUUAAUAUUUUGUAAAUAUAAAACUAUUCAAUACUUAUACUUUUUGAAAUACUUGAUACUUUAAAUGUAUUGACGAAAUAUAAAAAUCCUUAAUUAAUUGUGGUCUAAAACUUUCCUUUCUUCGAAUACAAAAUUCCUUUAAUCGUGACAUGAAACUUUCCUUUCAUUGAAUAGCCGCAAAGGAAAGGAUACACGUGGCAUGAACGAUGAACCACACACACACAUCGCAUUCUCUUAUUGCCAUUGGGUCGGUGGUCAACUUUUCAUUCUUUCUCUAAGGAAUAUUGCAUCUUCCUAUUAUAGUUAUGCUACUAAUAAAAUAUGGAUCCCUUUACACCUUAGUUAUAAUAACAUUUUUUACAGAAUAAAAAUACUCUAAAAAGUGUAUUAUUUAAUAUAUUAACAACAUAAAUAUUUUUUAUUUGUAUUCUUAAAAUCUUAUUAAAUAUUUUAAGGACACUUAAAAUAUUUAGUUAUUUUUAUUGUGUACAAAAACUACCUUAAAACAAUAAUAUAGAUUACUUAUAGUGUGUUUAAAUAACACCUAGAGUUGAUUAGGAAAAAAAAACACUAGAAUCAAUUUUAUUUCACAAAAUCAAGACAUCAUGAAAAAGUACAAAUAAUUAUUUGUUAUUUGGCGCAGACUAAAAUAACUUUCUUUGUAAUUGUUGGUGAAAUAAACAUAAUCGAAUAUCAAGGAGCAGUGAAGUGUCCAAUGUGGUUUUCGAUUUUUCUAUAAGGACUGCGACUAUGUGAAAAGAUAACUUAAAAAAGAAUAUCAUUUCUCCUUAAAUUACUAAGGCCAAAUUCAGAUGAGUUUAUUAAGAUACUUACAAGAAAAUAAAAUGAAAUUAAUUAAAAGGAUAAGCAAAUCAAACUCUUUUCAUAAGUUAAAAUUUAUUUAUACACCUCAAACUUUUUAGAAACUUUCUUAUUUAACUUCUCCAUUGAGGUACAUAAGUUAAAUUAUAAGAGAAGAUCGAUGUAUUUUACCUCCUUAAAUCAUUUUAUAUCUUUCUCAUGAGUGUUUGUUGAGAAAUUUAUUUAAAUUAAAUUAGUCCUAAAUUUAGAAAGAAUAGAGGGGAUGCUCAAGUUCUGCUAUUUCAUAUUGUUUUGAUUUUGUACAAUAAAGCUAUGUAAUCAUGAUGCUUUUCUUUAAUUAUUAUGUUUUUUCAAAAAAAAUAUUUAUUAUGGCUCUCAGAACCUUUUAUUUCCUUUCAUGAACUUCUGGGACUGAUAUGAUGAAAAUAACUUUCUACAAAGCUGCUUUUUCCAACUAUCUGCAGUAAUUUCAUAAAUACCAGUUUCUAUUCAAUUACAUGUUUGUCAUGCUGAGAUUCACACGGGACAUAAAUCACGUCGGUAGUGUAAUGAAAAUUAGAAAUUUUCCUUACUUUCUCUUUUUGUAUUUAAUUAAUUAAUUUAUUUAUUGUUAUUAUUAUUAUUAUUAUUAUUAUUAUUAUUAUUAUUAUUAUUAUUAUUAUCAUUAUGUGUUGUUGAUUUAACUUUAGCAAGUGUGUUUAUUUUUUAUCUUAUUAACUUUUCAACUUAUUAUAUAUCCUUUUUGAUGUUUUAUUUUUUAAAUCAGACAUAUACAAUAGCGAGUAAUUAUAUAAAAAAAUAUCUAUUUGGCACUUUAAAAAAUAAUAGUGAGUAAUUUUAAAUUUGUGGCACUUUAAAAAUUAUUUAUUUUUCACAUGGGAUAUAUUUUCUUUCCAGCAUUUUAAUAGAUUUGUAUUUAGAAUUGUAUAUUUAUAUGUGUAUAGUUUCUUUUUUAAAUAACAUUGAUAUUCAAGCAUUAUGGAUUUAUAUAUGAAAUCCUCUUUUGACAUGUCUCUUUUGGUGCUCACAAUUAUGCAUUUUUUGAUCAUGUUCAUUAGGACAUUUAUCAGUUGCAACUUAUGCAUUUUUUGAUCAUCUUCAUUGGGACAUUUAUUGGUUGUAGGUUAUGUCUUUGAUCAAAUGUCAAGAUAAUAUUUUUGGGUAUAUUUUUAUAUUUCUUAUUUUAAUUCUAAAUUUGUGUCACUUUUGAAAUUAUUUAUUUGCAAGGAAGAUCUCCCCAUACGAACAAACAAAAAAAGGGGCGGUGAAAAGAUUACCAAAAAAAAAUAAAAUCCUCUUUUGGCAUGCCUCGACCGAGCUUACCAAAGACAAUCAGUACCACAACACACAACUAACAUAUUACAAUUUGUUGUCAUCAAAGUGACUAUCACGGAAAAAUUUGGAAAAUAACCUUUAGAAAAGAGAGGAAGUGACAAUAAUUUUCAUUUUACAUAUAAUUUAUUUUUUUUAUUUCCUCUGAACAAUCUCCCUUUUAUCAACAUUAUAAAUAUAUAUCUAUCGAAUCUUCAAUUAUAUUACUCUAAUUGCAAGUUUAUUAACCAAACGACCCAUGCUAUGCACAGAUUACAUACUAGUUAGAUCUAAAAAUCAUACACAUUUAAAAAAGUUAAAGCAUUAGAGUUAAAAUUAUAUUUAAACAAAAAAUUAAUAGAUAGAAAAUAAUGUGAUUGAAGAAAGUCCGAUGACGUUACACCUCCAUUCAGAAUCCCAAGGUCGUCCCCGAUCUACACGUUUGAGCUUGACUUAGAGUCAACUGACUUUGUACAAACAUAAGUCAAGUCACGUUAGUCGAUGGGAUUCGUUGUGCAUAUUGCGGUGGAAUCUUUGAUCUUAUCUUCAAUUUUUUUAUUUUAUUUUACACUAGGAUAUAUUUAAAGAAUUUCAUACAACUGUUAUAUUUUUUUUUAAUAAGAAUAACUUUUGGUAAAGUUAUUUCUCACUCUAUAUAUGUAUGUUUUAAUUUUUUUUUAAAAAACUAGAGCAAUAUUUGAAUGUAAAUACCUGUUAGUAUCACAUUACCAUUGAUGUAAAUUAAGAUUACCAUUAAUUAGUUUAGAAUUUGAAUUAUAAUUUUUGAUGUAAAAUAAAUCAUGUUGAGAGGUAAAUGUUUAUUUAUGUCUCAUAAUUUUUUAUAAAGAUUAAUCAUUUUUUUCAGUGAUAAAUAUUGAGUAAAUAGAUAUUUUGGUUAUUGACUUUUAACUCAUUUUGUAAAUUAAUUUCUAUCUUUUUGAAAUGUAAAAAAUAGUCUAUAUUUUUGCAUAAAUUUUAUAAAAUAGUCUUUGUCAUUAAAUACGAAAAUAAUGUCAUUAGUGAAAUAUAUUAUUGACAAUUGUAAUGUCACUUAAAUUAUCCAAUAAUAAAUUAUCUCAGAUUGUGACAUACAUAAAUUGUACUGCAAACUAUAAAAAAUUAUCAAAUAUUUUCUUCUUGCUUUUUCUUCUUCAAACUAGGUUUCUAAUUGAUGGGCUGCAUAUCCUAAGUUUUCAAGAAAUUAAAACCUUUCUUGACCUGAAUAAAGAGAUUGAGAUUCACAGCAGUCUAUUAGCAGAUUGAGAAUGUGGUGAACAAAAAAAAAUAAAGCGCCUAUCUCACUCUUUUUUUCCUCCGGAGUCUUAAAUUUUUCUUCACUAUCAAUCUUGUGCCAUUCUUUAUCAUUUAGUUCUUGCAUACACAGUAACAUCAUGUCCAUUAAAGAAUGCUUUGUGUUCCUUUUCGACCCUUAUAAUAUUUGACACUGUCCCUGGUUUCAAUGUGAUGGAAAUCAUGAAUGUUUGCGUGGUGGGGUGCACACUGAAGUUGGCAUUUUGAGGGAUGGACCCAGCAUCAACCAAAAACAGUGGGUUUAUAUAAGCUUUUUUGUGAUAAGAGUGUGGAUGGGACACCAUACAUCAUCACGGUACGUCACACUGUAUUGUGAUGAUAAAUCCCAAAUUCCUGUGUCAGGCGUAGUGAAUUUAUUUAUUUUAAAAAAUAAUGAUCACAAAUUUAUUUAGUUAUCCACAGAUCAAUGUUUUUUUUCAGUUAAUUGAUUCCUCUCGAUAACCCUAAUUUGAGGGGAAAAAAAGCAAUCAUGAAUGUUUGCGUGGUGGGGUGCACACUGAAGCCAUUAUGAGGGAUGGACCCAGCAUCAAUAAAAAAACAGUGGGUUUAUAUAGGCAUUUGUGAAAAGGGUGUGGAUGGGGCACCAUAGAUCAUCACCGUCACACUGUAUUAGGAUGAUAUAGUUACAGCACCCACAAACCAAUGUUUUUUUGUUUUUUCAGUUAAUUGAUUCCUCUCGAUAACCUAAUUUGAGGGGGAAAAAAGCAACUAGAGAAGAAAAUAUCUACAUAUAUGUCACAGAAACAGUUUGUCACUCAACCAUAUAUUUCAUCAACGAUAUUAUUUUUAAAUUUAAUAGUAAUAAUUAUUUUUAUAAAUUUAUGUAAGAAUAAAGACUAUUUUUUAUAUUUAAAAAAGAUAAAAACUAAUUUUUAAAAUGGACAAAAGUUAGAGACUAAGAUACUUAUUUACUCAUAAAUAUUUCUUACUUAUACCAAGAUAAAAAUAAAAAAAGUACUGCCAUUGAUGUCUCAAUCUUAUUCUCUUUUACUAUGAUAAAUUAUAGUCUGAAAGGCAGGCCUGCAUUACGGAAUGCCAAAAAUACUUUUCCAGCGUUGCUUUUGUCUGGUACUUUCGUCAGUUUCUUCGAAUUUUCUCAACAAUGCUAAGCAAUAGUGUUGACAUUGACCAAGAAUAACAAGCUUAAUAUUAAUGAAGUAGUGUAUUUUGGUAUACAUAUUUAUUUAUCAAGUGAGGUUCAAGAAUUCAUCAUCUAUAUACUUGUACCCGAUCAAUGAAUUAGCCUAUAAAGACCAAGUAUUCCUUGGAGUUGUUGUAUAACCAGGCUUAUAUAUUAGCUAUUAAUCUUCAGUUGACAUGCACAUCCAAAUGUCUUCUUUCCUCUUAGCUUCGCUUGCACUUUUGUUUUGCAUCUCCUCCUUGGAGAAGAGCUUUGCCUUUCAAGCAACAAAGGAAAGCAACAAUCUUCGUCAAUAUCAUUUUGUUCACCUCAACUCUCUAUUUCCAUCAUCUUCUUGCAGCUCUUCUGCCAAAGGUCAAUCCAAUCUUCAAUUCCUUGUUUUUUUAUUAUGUUUUUCAAUAAUAACUAGAGUUUCUCUUUGAUAAUUUAAGUUAACAAUCAAGUAAAUCUUUUUAUAUGAAGUAUUGAAGAGAGACUCUUAUUCUAAUUGAAGAGGAAUGUUAAUAUACUCUCUCUACCACUCUUUCUAGUGAGACUUUCUUUAAAAGUUAGAAGAGAAAAUUAUUAAAUAAAACAUAAAACAUUCAAAAAUUAAUAAUUUUUAAUAAAUUUCAGCUAAAAAUUAACAAGGAAUUUUUAUCUAGCUAAAAAUUGCAUACCAAACCUAGAUAUAAUUGAUGUGUACUCGAUAAGAUGUAGAAUUAUAUUGAUUGAUUGAAAAAAUUAAUAAUUGAUAUCAUUACAAAUGCAUAUAAAUAUGUAAUAAAUUACACAAUCAUUAAAAUCUGAUUUCCUUUUAACUUUUAGCUGUGUGUUUUCUCUUAAGGACUCUUUCAAGUCAAAUCAAUUUGAUUAUUCACUUUAAUAUGAUGGUUGAUUAACAAUCAAUGAUUUGGCAACACUAAUUCUAAUUCAGGUCCUAAAAGGAAAGCAUCAUUAGAAGUGGUGCACAAACAUGGCCCAUGCUCCCAACUAAAUCAUAGUGGCAAAGCAGAGGCUACAAUAUCACACAAUGAUAUUAUGAACCUAGACAAUGAAAGGGUAAAGUAUAUUCAGUCCAGGCUCUCUAAGAAUUUGGGUGGAGAAAAUAGAGUGAAGGAAUUGGAUUCAACUACCCUACCCGCCAAGUCUGGUAGACUUAUUGGGUCUGCAGACUAUUAUGUUGUUGUUGGUCUUGGUACACCCAAGAGGGACUUGUCACUCAUUUUUGACACAGGUAGUUAUCUUACAUGGACUCAGUGUGAACCCUGUGCUGGUUCUUGCUACAAGCAGCAAGAUCCAAUCUUUGAUCCAUCAAAGUCUUCAUCGUAUACCAAUAUCAAAUGCACAUCUUCGCUCUGCACUCAAUUCCGUUCUGCGGGUAAAUCUUUACUUUUGAAUACAGAAAAUAUUUAAAUUAUUGGGAUUACUAUAAGUGCCUGAGUAAUCCUAAUAAUUAUAUAUAUAGUCUGCUACCAUCAAAUGUUUAGAUAGAAAACAACCAUAAUUUUACAAUAUCACAAAUCCAUCAAAUAUAGAUCUAAGUAUUUAGACGGUUGCUUACUUGAUGAAAAAUAAAAAAUAAAAUAAAAAGUAAAAAUCAGGAAACUGGUGUUAAAAAUAAAGAUGCGAUGCAACUUUCUUUUUUUCUUUUCUGAUCUCUCGCUCACACAUGCACACGGAUUAAUACAGAGUGGUCCUAGACCAAUACUUGUUCAUGUUCUAGCAAAUGUUUAUCUAAUACACUAUGUAAACAAAUUAUGUAUAUAUAUAGAAGGGUUGCAAUAUUUGAUUAUAUUAUUAUUUAAUUAAUUUUUUUUCCAUGCAGGAUGCUCCUCAUCCACAGAUGCAUCAUGCAUAUAUGACGUCAAAUACGGUGACAAUUCCAUCUCCCGCGGCUUCUUGAGUCAGGAGCGCCUUACCAUCACCGCCACCGACAUCGUCCACGACUUCCUCUUUGGCUGUGGCCAAGACAACGAGGGCCUCUUCAGGGGCACCGCCGGCCUCAUGGGCCUCAGCCGCCACCCCAUUUCCUUUGUCCAACAAACCUCCUCAAUUUACAACAAAAUUUUCUCCUACUGUCUCCCCUCCACCCCCAGCUCCCUUGGCCACCUCACCUUCGGCGCUUCCGCCGCCACCAAUGCUAACCUCAAAUACACUCCCUUUUCCACAAUCUCCGGCGAAAACUCCUUCUACGGUCUCGACAUCGUCGGCAUCUCCGUUGGCGGCACCAAACUCCCUGCUGUCUCCUCCUCCACCUUCUCCGCCGGUGGCUCCAUCAUCGACUCCGGCACCGUGAUCACGCGGUUGCCUCCGACCGCGUACGCCGCGCUCCGGUCGGCAUUUCGGCAGUUUAUGAUGAAGUACCCCGUUGCCUAUGGGACCCGCCUACUUGACACGUGUUAUGAUUUCAGUGGGUAUAAGGAGAUUUCAGUUCCGAGGAUAGAUUUUGAAUUUGCCGGUGGCGUCAAGGUGGAGUUGCCAUUGGUGGGGAUACUCUAUGGGGAAAGUGCGCAACAACUGUGUUUGGCUUUUGCUGCAAAUGGGAAUGGCAAUGAUAUUACGAUAUUUGGGAAUGUGCAACAAAAGACACUAGAGGUCGUGUAUGAUGUUGAGGGUGGGAGGAUAGGGUUUGGUGCUGCUGGGUGCAACUGAAGUUAGUUUGAUUAAUAGUGGUGUUAAUUAAACAUGCUUUGGGCUUGUUAGGGAGGAAGAAAUCUUAAUUGGCUCUGGCAUUUUUAAUUACUAUUGUUGUUGUUACUGGAAAGUACUCUAAAACAUAUGAAAAAAUAAAUAAAGGAAAUGAUGUGGGAAAUAUGAUGUAACAUGUAGAAUGGAGGGGGUGUUAUAUUAUACAUAUGACUCCCAACCAUUGGGGUUGCUUGCAAUUGCACAUACAUGGCUAAUAUGGUUUUAUAAUAGUUAACUUAGCUAAACAUAUUAAAUUUAUUAAUAAUUUAUACUUUGUUGAACUCAUAAGCAAAAAAAAAACUAAUUUUACACUAAUAAAAUUAGUUGAAAUAAUUUAAUUUUAUUAAUUUAAAGUAAAAUAGUAAGAUUAUCUCUACAAAAAUUUUAUUAGAACUUGAUAUCACGAAUAAAUAAAAUACAUAAAAAUAGAAUUCAAUUAAAUAUAUUUUUUUAAAAAAUAAUAUUAUUAAAUAAGGAUAAAUAAUUAGAUUUGUUUAUAUUUAAAUUCAAGCCCUUAAAAAAAUUAAAAUUAUCAAAGAAUGGAAUAUGUCACAAAAUAAACAUAAAAGCGUCGUACGAAGAUUUUGUGACUAGCAAAUGCUCUCACAAAUUUUGGCGUCCUAUAAGCACUUAAGUGAGGGACUUUUUGUCCCGUCACAUACAAUGACAGAAUCUAUUGUGAUUCAUCUACCUCAACCCCCACUAGACCAAUCUUGUGUGUAGAAUGUGAGAAUAAAUAAUCAUUUUUCUAUGUAAAUUUGUAAAUAACAAUAAUACAUUAAAAUCAAAUAUAACGAAUAAACAAGCUAAAUAAUUAUGAGUUUAAUUUGCUUGAUAUCUCAUAAUAUCCAGUAGUGAAUAUAUUAACAACAUUCAAAGUUUUGUUUAACAUCCAAAGUCUUAAAAUACCUAUUUUAUAAAUAUCUAUUUAAAGUCUUAUAAUUUGUAACAUAAGUAGAAUAUAUAAUUAAUUUUCAAACACCCAUAUUAUCAUCUAAUUCAUCAUCUUGUUGAUCACGUGUAGGAAGUUAUGGACCACAUUGAAUUGGUUGAGAUCUUUGACCAACUGAAACAUUCUCCAUAAAUUAAGUCAUUUUUGCUCACAAAACAAAUGGCCCUCUUGUGAUUCAACAAACAUGUCUUUCAAGUUCUUAUCUUUUUCAAUCAAAUCGAAAACUUUAGUUCAUUUUCUCAUAUUCAUGCGAUGAGAAACCAUAAGAUGAUAUGGAUGAGAAAGAAAGCUUGUAUUUCCUUGCCUCUAAACCUAGACCAAAUAUCAAUUGUUAGAUCCCUUAAGAUAUAAAACCUUUUUUCUUAUAUAUGAGUUUAGAUGAAUUAUUACUCUUUCAAAAUUAUCCUUCAUUUUUUUCUACUUAAUUAUUUCUUACCUAAUUAGUCGUAGUCGACCUCUACUAAAAAAUAGUCUCAAUUAAUGUUAGUAAAAUAAUUACCUUUUCGACCUUGACUAGAGUUUUUUUCCCAAGGCAUGCUUUAAAAUUUAAAAAUCCAAUGAAAUUUAAUAACAUAUUUUGGAUAUAGUUAGUUACGGAAUGAUUCUAUAUAAUCUAAUUAUAUAACCUGAUUUCUUUGAAAACUCCUAAUAAAAACCAAUUAUUGUUUCCUUUCAAAUGUGUGAUUUGAUAAAGGAACUCUAUUCUUUGACUCACUUCCUAAUUUACUUAGAAGAGUUUCUUAAAAGUAUUAAUGAAUGAGGUUCCUAAUAUAUUUCAAAGAGGUUUUUAAAAGUUUUAUUGGAUGAGGUUUCAAUGCUACAUUACUCUAACAUUGUUGUUUAAGAUAAAUAAAAAGGAAUAAAUUAUAUUUUUAAUUGCACUUUUUAUCUUUAUUUUUUAAAAAAAUUUGAUGAUUUUUUUCUUAAAAUUAAUUUGUCAUAUUUUAGACAUAAUUUUUAAAAAAUUUGUGAAUUUCAUCAUUUGUCAUUCAUUUAUUAAUAAGCAAAAGUUAUGACUAUAGUUUACCAAAAACAAAAGUUUAGGACAGAAUUUGUUAAAAAAUAAAAAAUGUUGCGUAAAAAAACUUUCAAAAAUCAAAAAGUUAGAGAUAAACAAUGUAAUUAUUUCAAAAGGAAAAUGACGGAAGAUAAACAAUGUAAUAAUUUGAGAUAAAUUAUCUUAAAUUAAUUUUUUGAGGUGAAAUUUGUCAAAAAUUAUAGAAGUUAAGAGUAGAAAAUGCAAUUAGACCUAAAAAUUAUAGAGAUUAAAAAAAAUUAAAUCACCAUAGUUAAAAUUAUAUUUAAACCAAAAAUUAAUAAAUAGAAAAUAAUGUGAUUGAAGAAAGUACUACUCCGAUGACGUUACACCACCAACAUGGCAAAACCUCCAUUCAAAAGCCCUAGGUAUUCCCCGAUAUACUUUUGAGGAUCAAAGGGUCAACUGACUUUGUACAAACAAAAGUCAAGUCACGUUAGUCGAUCGGAUUGGUUGCGUAUAUUGCGGUGGAAACUUUGAUCUUAUCUCCACUUUUUAUUUUUUUUUAAUUUUACACUAGGAUAUAUUUAAAGGAUUUCAUACAACUGUUAUAUUUUUUUUUAGUAAGAACUAUGUAUACUGAUUAUUAAUAAUAAUAUUUGUUUUUAAAUUAAAUAUAUGCAUAUGAUUAUUAUUUUAAUAUUAAUCGACGAGUUAACAGGUUAGAUUUCCAGACCAAUUAGUUUAAAAAUUAAAAUCCAUGAUCCAACAUGUGUAUGAAAAGGUUAAAAUAGAUUGUUCAAUGUGUUUGAGUCCAUUUGGAUCCAUUUGAGUUAGAGAGUGACACAUGUUUUUGAACAAUUCUAAAUAUGCCCGUGUUACAUAUAAAAGAUUAUAGUUGUAGAUGAGAUAUGUGUAUAAUAUAAAUAAGUCAUAAUUACAUAGUAAUUUUCACUUUGGACCAACAUUUGCUAAUUAGAGUUAAGAUGAAUAAGUUUAUUUACUUUUUAAAAUAAAGUUCUUAUUAUUUCUUUUUAUGACUUAAGUUUAAGACAUUAUUUUUAAAAAAGUAAAUUAUGUCAAUAAACAAAUAUUGACAACUUAAAGUUAAAAUAUAUUUUAUAUACAUUGAAAAAAAUAUAUUUUUAUGUAAAAAUGCAUACAUAUAUUUGUGUACAUACUUGCAUUUGUUUGUAUAAAGUUUGAGGAAACUCAAUAAUUAUAGUUCAAUUGAUAAUAUAAGUUAAUUUUGUAAAAAAGAUUUAGGUUCAAUUUUCAUAUAAUAGAUCACCUUUGAGAAGAAGUAAUAGAUUUUUGGUGUGACUAAUUCUCAUCGAUAAUUAAUCUCAUUAUCCCUAAAUGCCAUAAUUAUUGUUAUAACAAUGCUAAGCAAUAUUAGUGUUGAGAUUGACCAAGAAUAACAAGCUUAAUUAAUAUUAAUGAAGUAGUGUAUUUUGGUAUACAUAUUUAUCAAGUGACGUUAAAGAAUUAAUAAUCUAUAUAUUUGGACACGAUCAAUGAAUUAGCCUAUAAAGACCAAGUAUUCCGACGGAGUUGUCGUAUAACCAGGCUUAUGUAUAUAUUAGCUAUUAAUCUUCAGUUGACAUGCACAUCCAAAUGUCUUCUUUCCUCUUAGCUUCAAUUCGCUUGCACUUUUGUUUUUCAUCUCCUCCUUGGAGAAGAGCUUUGCCUUUCAAGCAACAAAGGAAAGCAACAAUCUUCGUCAUAUCAUUUUGUUCACCUCAACUCUCUAUUUCCAUCAUCUUCUUGCAGCUCUUCUGCCAAAGGUCAAUCCAAUCUUCAAUUCCUUGUUUUUUUAUUAUGUUUUUCAAUAAUAGCUAGAGUUUCUCUUUGAUAAUUUAAGUUAACAAUCAAGUAAAUCUUUUUAUAUGAAGUAUUGAAGAGAGACUCUUAUUCUAAUUGAAGAGGAAUGUUAAUAUACUCUCUCUACCACUCUUUCUAGUGAGACUUUCUUUAAAAGUUAGAAGAGAAAAUUAUUAAAUAAAACAUAAAACAUUCAAAAAUUAAUAAUUUUUAAUAAAUUUCAGCUAAAAAUUAACAAGGAAUUUUUAUCUAGCUAAAAAUUGCAUACCAAACCUAGAUAUAAUUGAUGUGUACCCGAUAAAAUGUAGAAUUAUAUUUAUUGAUUGAAAAAAAUUAAUAAAUGAUAUCAUAACAAAUGCAUAUAAAUAUGUAAUAAAUUACACAAUCAUUAAAAUCUGGUUUCCUUUUAACUUUUAGCUAUUAGCUGUGUACGUGUUUUCUCUUAAGGACUCUUUCAAGUCACAUCCUUAUGUUAAAUCAAUUUUGAUUAUUCACUUUAAUAUGAUGGUUGAUUAACAAUCAAUGAUUUGGCAACACUAAUUCUAAUUCAGGUCCUAAAAGGAAAGCAUCAUUAGAAGUGGUACAUACACAAACAUGGUCCAUGCUCCCAACUAAAACAUAGAGGCAAAGCAGAGGCUACAAUAUCACACAAUGAUAUUAUGAACCUAGACAAUGAAAGGGUAAAGUAUAUUCAGUCCAGGCUCUCUAAGAAUUUGGGUCGAGAAAAUACUGUGAAGGAUUUGGAUUCAACUACCCUACCCGCCGAGUCUGGUAGCCUUAUUGGGUCUGCAAACUAUGUUGUUGUUGUUGGUCUUGGUACACCAAAGAGGGACUUGUCACUUGUUUUUGACACAGGUAGUGAUCUUACAUGGACUCAGUGUGAACCCUGUGCUGGUUCUUGCUACAAGCAGCAAGAUGCAAUCUUUGAUCCAUCAAAGUCUUCAUCGUAUACCAAUAUCACAUGCACAUCUUCCCUCUGCACUCAACUCACUUCUGAUGGUAAAUCUUUACUUUUGAAUACAGAAAUUAAUGAAGAAAAUAUUUAAACUAACAGGAUUACUGAGGCACUUAUAUAGUCUGAUACCAUCAAAUUAAAUGUUUAGAUAGAAAACAACCAUAAUUUUACAAUAUCACAAAUCCAAAUAUAGAUGUAAGUAUUUAGACGGUUGCUUACUUGAUGAAAAAUUAAAUAAAAAAAAGUAAAAAUCAAGAUACUGGAAUGAGAAAAAAUUAAAUGAGAUGUGUAUUUAAUUUGUUCAAUUUAUGAGAAAAAAUCAUGUUAUAAUUCUUAAUUAUAUGUUAUGUGAUGAUUAAUUAGAAACCAUGUGUGAUGAAGAUCAUUUAAUCAUUUUUCAACGAGAAGGGUUGCAAUAUUUGAUUAUAUUAUUAUUUAAUUUUUUUUUCCAUGCAGGAAUUAAGUCAGAAUGCUCCUCAUCCACAGAUGCAUCAUGCAUAUAUGACGCCAAAUACGGUGACAAUUCCACCUCCGUCGGCUUCUUGAGUCAGGAGCGCCUUACCAUCACCGCCACCGACAUCGUCGACGACUUCCUGUUCGGCUGCGGCCAAGACAAUGAGGGCCUCUUCAAUGGCUCCGCCGGCCUCAUGGGCCUCGGCCGCCACCCCAUUUCCAUUGUCCAACAAACCUCCUCAAAUUACAACAAAAUUUUCUCCUACUGUCUCCCCGCCACCUCCAGCUCCCUUGGCCACCUCACCUUCGGCGCUUCCGCCGCCACCAAUGCUAGUCUCAUAUACACUCCGUUGUCCACAAUCUCCGGCGACAACUCCUUCUACGGUCUCGACAUCGUCAGCAUCUCCGUUGGCGGCACCAAGCUCCCUGCUGUCUCCUCCUCCACCUUCUCCGCCGGUGGCUCCAUCAUCGACUCCGGCACCGUGAUCACGCGGCUGGCCCCGA
rnacentral:lncRNA from 1 species